rnacentral:rRNA from 1 species
GACGAACGCUGGCGGCGUGCUUAACACAUGCAAGUCGAGCGGUAAGGCCCUUCGGGGUACACGAGCGGCGAACGGGUGAGUAACACGUGGGUGACCUGCCUCUAGCUCUGGGAUAAGCCUGGGAAACUGGGUCUAAUACCGGAUAUGACUCCACGGCGCAUGUUGUGGGGUGGAAAGCCUUGUGUGGCUAGAGAUGGGCCCGCGGCCUAUCAGCUUGUUGGUGGGGUGAUGGCCUACCAAGGCGACGACGGGUAGCCGGCCUGAGAGGGCGACCGGCCACACUGGGACUGAGACACGGCCCAGACUCCUACGGGAGGCAGCAGUGGGGAAUCUUGCGCAAUGGGCGAAAGCCUGACGCAGCGACGCCGCGUGGGGAUGAAGGUCUUCGGAUUGUAAACCCCUUUCGGGAGGGAAGAUGGAACGAGCAAUCGUUCGGACGGUACCUCCAGAAGCA